rnacentral:rRNA from 1 species
AGGGUUCGAUUCUGGCUCAGGAUGAACGCUGGCGGCGUGCUUAACACAUGCAAGUCGAACGGGAUCCAUCGGGCUUUGCUUGGUGGUGAGAGUGGCGAACGGGUGAGUAAUGCGUGACCGACCUGCCCCAUACACCGGAAUAGCUCCUGGAAACGGGUGGUAAUGCCGGAUGCUCCAGUUGGAUGCAUGUCCUUCUGGGAAAGAUUCUAUCGGUAUGGGAUGGGGUCGCGUCCUAUCAGGUAGUCGGCGGGGUAACGGCCCACCGAGCCUACGACGGGUAGCCGGCCUGAGAGGGCGACCGGCCACAUUGGGACUGAGAUACGGCCCAGACUCCUACGGGAGGCAGCAGUGGGGAAUAUUGCACAAUGGGCGCAAGCCUGAUGCAGCGACGCCGCGUGCGGGAUGACGGCCUUCGGGUUGUAAACCGCUUUUGACUGGGAGCAAGCCCUUCGGGGUGAGUGUACCUUUCGAAUAAGCACCGGCUAACUACGUGCCAGCAGCCGCGGUAAUACGUAGGGUGCAAGCGUUAUCCGGAAUUAUUGGGCGUAAAGGGCUCGUAGGCGGUUCGUCGCGUCCGGUGUGAAAGUCCAUCGCUUAACGGUGGAUCCGCGCCGGGUACGGGCGGGCUUGAGUGCGGUAGGGGAGACUGGAAUUCCCGGUGUAACGGUGGAAUGUGUAGAUAUCGGGAAGAACACCAAUGGCGAAGGCAGGUCUCUGGGCCGUCACUGACGCUGAGGAGCGAAAGCGUGGGGAGCGAACAGGAUUAGAUACCCUGGUAGUCCACGCCGUAAACGGUGGAUGCUGGAUGUGGGGACCAUUCCACGGUCUCCGUGUCGGAGCCAACGCGUUAAGCAUCCCGCCUGGGGAGUACGGCCGCAAGGCUAAAACUCAAAGAAAUUGACGGGGGCCCGCACAAGCGGCGGAGCAUGCGGAUUAAUUCGAUGCAACGCGAAGAACCUUACCUGGGCUUGACAUGUUCCCGACAGCCCCAGAGAUGGGGCCUCCCUUCGGGGCGGGUUCACAGGUGGUGCAUGGUCGUCGUCAGCUCGUGUCGUGAGAUGUUGGGUUAAGUCCCGCAACGAGCGCAACCCU